rnacentral:rRNA from 1 species
AACGCGAAGAACCUUACCUGGCCUUGACAUCUACGGAAUCCUGCAGAGAUGCGGGAGUGCCUUCGGGAACCGUAAGACAGGUGCUGCAUGGCUGUCGUCAGCUCGUGUCGUGAGAUGUUGGGUUAAGUCCCGCAACGAGCGCAACCCUUGUCCUUAGUUGCCAUCAUUAAGUUGGGAACUCUAAGGAGACCGCCGGUGACAAACCGGAGGAAGGUGGGGAUGACGUCAAGUCAUCAUGGCCUUUAUGGCCAGGGCUACACACGUGCUACAAUGGCAGGUACAGAGGGAAGCCAACUCGCGAGAGGGAGCCAAUCCCAGAAAGCCUGUCGUAGUCCGGAUCGGAGUCUGCAACUCGACUCCGUGAAGUCGGAAUCGCUAGUAAUCGCAGAUCAGCAUUGCUGCGGUGAAUACGUUCCCGGGCCUUGUA